CAUCCUGCAAAGGAUCAAAGACAGAUUUAAAUCAGCUUAUUGUGUAAUCUAAACUGGCACCUUGCAUCACUUUUGACCUCCACAUCCACAGAAUGAGACUCUUACCUUAAGCCCAUUAUCAUGCCAAGUCAGAAAGCAAAUUUUGGAAUUUCCUCUAUUCUUUGUCUAAAGUAGUGUUGAUUAAUGAACCUCCAGCCAGCCAGUUACUUCAGAGCCUCCUCAGGAAAUUUAAAGAACCUAUAGUUCUUUCCUCAAGAGGUGAUACAGCUGCAAACACUGAACUUAAAACACUCUCUCUUCACACUACUGGUGGUAACUCGUUUGAUUAAGGGACUGCCUAAACAGUACCUCAGUCUAGGCUUCCACAGAAGAAAUAUGCCUGGCAGCAGCACCUGGGUGAAGUAUUUUUCCACUGUUUCUUAGUCCCCAUACACCAUGGUAUACCAUCCCUCCAACUGGGCUCAGAACAACCACAGGAAUGCAGAAAGAACCAGAUUUGAGAAUUGAGGCAAAAGCAUCAAGUGAACUGCCUGAUGUAGCCGUGUGCAUCUCAAAAGGAAUCGCUGCAGCACAGCAUAAGGAGCAGUGUAUCACAGAAGACACACAACUGAUUUGCUUAGUUUGUGAAGUCAUUGCCUUUACCUUUUCUGGCCAUAUCUUAUUUCUGUCAUUAAAGAUGGUUUUGUAACCAACUGUAAGAGAACAGGGAAUGUAAAACUGUGUCACUUUGGUGUUGUGUAGGAUUUCAGUAGCUGAAAAUUCUAGUCUAAAUUUGCAAAUGCCUUCUCAACUACAUUUUUGCCAUGGGAAUCUUUUCACAGUCUGUUUCAUGGUAGUUUUCUUUUCAUGUUUUUAUUUAUUAGAAAUCAAAACCAAACACCAGAUACCAAAUGAGGGUGAAGAAUGGGAUUUGGGGUAUGGGGCUUAAAGAGGUGCCUUUUUUCAUUUAAAUCCCCAAGGAACUUGGAGGCUUCGGCAAAAUACCCUUUCAGUGAAAGUAGUUUUUGUUGUACAAGCACCUAGGAACAGUUUGUGCAGAACUGUAACACGUGCAUGUGGGCCAAAAGGGACCGUUAGAGGUCAUGUAGUCCAGUCUCCUCCACAUGACAGUGCCACCAAUACUAUCAGCUGUGGCUCUGUCUAGCUGAGGUUUGUUUUGAAGCGUGCAAGGAUGGAGAUACCACAGCCUCCUUGGAUGGCCUGUUCUAGUGUUGCACACAUUUCUAGCAGAAUGUGUUACCUUAAGAGAAAACGCCAAGGGUUACUGUAAAAACCUCCACUGCUUUAAACAUCUUAUGAAUACAUUGCUGGGAUUGACAAAAAAAAAUAUUUAUGCUUCAGUAUCUGUAUUUAUCUUUAGAAUAAUGUAUUAAGUGCUGUUUACUUAAAAAUUUAUUUCUGUAUGCUGUCUGUUCCCUUCUAUCACUACAAUUUCCUCCUGAAAGACCAAUGCCUCUAAUCCUUUUUUAUCAAAUCAUUCUUGUAAAAGCUCUACUGCUCAAAUAUUUUUUCCUGAAGUAGCACAUUAAUUGUAUCCACCUAUGUUUCAGUUUCAUAUCUGAAUUUCUUUCUCUGAGAUUAAAGACAAAUCUGCAUACUAGCUCUUAAAUCAGCAUGCCAGAUACAGACAGAGCAUUACCUACCACUUGGUAAAAGUCUUUUCACUGUACAAACAUCUAUCUACAAGAUCCAUGCUAAUAAUGCUGGAAUACGUUUCUUUCCUCGCAUCUUUGAGGCUGUAUUUUGCAACAGAAUUUUACACCAAAACUAGGGGUUUAUAAUAAGAAACUUGCUAGAAAAAGAGGAGAAGAAAAGCUACUGAGAUUUCAGAAUACCUAUGAAUACAACCCAACCAGUAUCUCACGACAGAAGAAUUAGAAGAGAAAUCCAUGUAUUGAUUAAUUUGCACUAACCACAGCUGAGGUAAAGGAUCUGAAUUUUCAAGUGCUCCUAUAAUGAGAUACUACUGUGCAAAAAGGCACAGCAGCGGAGAUGUUUACUUCCAUGCUACAAUUUUACAAAAAGCUGCUUCUCCCUGAAUAUACUUUUUUAAGGUUAUCCUUUUCAGUGAAAAAUAAA